rnacentral:rRNA from 1 species
CUUACCAUGCAGUCGAGCGGUAGCACAGGGGAGCUUGCUCCCUGGGUGACGAGCGGCGGACGGGUGAGUAAUGUCUGGGAAACUGCCUGAUGGAGGGGGAUAACUACUGGAAACGGUAGCUAAUACCGCAUAACGUCGCAAGACCAAAGAGGGGGACCUUCGGGCCUCUUGCCAUCAGAUGUGCCCAGAUGGGAUUAGCUAGUAGGUGGGGUAAUGGCUCACCUAGGCGACGAUCCCUAGCUGGUCUGAGAGGAUGACCAGCCACACUGGAACUGAGACACGGUCCAGACUCCUACGGGAGGCAGCAGUGGGGAAUAUUGCACAAUGGGCGCAAGCCUGAUGCAGCCAUGCCGCGUGUGUGAAGAAGGCCUUCGGGUUGUAAAGCACUUUCAGCGAGGAGGAAGGUGGUGAACUUAAUACGUUCAUCAAUUGACGUUACUCGCAGAAGAAGCACCGGCUAACUCCGUGCCAGCAGCCGCGGUAAUACGGAGGGUGCAAGCGUUAAUCGGAAUUACUGGGCGUAAAGCGCACGCAGGCGGUUUGUUAAGUCAGAUGUGAAAUCCCCGGGCUCAACCUGGGAACUGCAUUUGAAACUGGCAAGCCAGAGUCUCGUAGAGGGGGGUAGAAUUCCAGGUGUAGCGGUGAAAUGCGUAGAGAUCUGGAGGAAUACCGGUGGCGAAGGCGGCCCCCUGGACGAAGACUGACGCUCAGGUGCGAAAGCGUGGGGAGCAAACAGGAU